UGAGGACUCUCCAAGCCAUAUAAGGAGACCAAGGACCUCAAAUCCCUCCGAUGUGGGACAAACUCAAUACCCCCCCUCACGCCCAGAUCUCUGGAGCGUGGACAAUAUAAAUGGGGGCCCAACAUCGGUAACAAUAAUUGGGACGGGCCUGGCUCUGAUACCAUGAAAAGAAUGGACCUUGGCCUAACUCAACCCCAAAAGCUAGCUUAUGAGGUGAGGAUUGUCCAAGCCAUAUAAGAAGACCAAGGAUCUCAAAUCCCUCCGAUGUGGGACAAACUCAACACUUAAUAAACACUAGUUUUUCCUUUUUGAUAGAACAUUAAAAACUUUGGAAUAGAAGCAAGAAUGUAAAAAAUUAAGAAAGCCAAUAGGAACUCACAUGGGAAAAAGAGUGAGCAGCAAUUGAAGAAAAGGAAAGAAUUGAAGAAACAAGCAAAAGAAAGAAAAAAAGGAAAGAAUUUAAGCGCUGCUCCAGUGGCACCAAGAAGCAAUUUGUUACAUUGGGUGCCACUUUAUUAAUUUAUCCAAAUGUGUAAAAUAUACAUAAAUAAAAAUACAUAUACAUAUAACAUUUCGAUCGAGGUGUGCGGGUGGCAUACCACCCCCUUCUUCCUUAACAGAUCCGUUGAUGUUUGCAGCUUGGACAAACGGGCUAUACAUCUGCUACAGAUUAGUAGAUCGUAACUAGCGGGAGAAUUACCCAUGCAUAAGUUAUAUAUGUUUCACCAAGCUGUCUUUAUCGCAUAUAGUGACGGAACCAGGAGUUUUAUCAAGAAGUAUUAAAAUAUAAAGAAGUAAGCACACGAAAAUAUUAAGAUGGUCAACAUAUAAUAUAUGAAAUGUGUAUAUAUAUAUAUAUAUAUAUAUAUAUAUAAAUAAAAUUUCGAUCCGAUUACAUACAUAAGUUUCCGGCAAAAGAGCGUAACCGACGCCCCUUAACCUAAGGUGGCGCGGCCACUGAUCACAUAGCUUGUUACUUUCAGGAGAUACGCGCUCGCUGCUAUGUAAGAUACAAAACUGAAAUUCAUUCGGCAGCGGGGACAUGAACAUUAAUCUGUUGCUAUCGUACGUCCUUACCCCAUAUGAUUCUUUAUUUCUUUCCUAACGAUUCAUAAACUUUAAUUUACACUUCUUUUCCAAAUUCUGACAAUGCAUGCCAGCGUACAUUAAUAUUAUUGUUGUAUAGGGUCAAAUUUGAUCCUCAACUUUCUCGUGAUUAAUGGGUACGCUUAACCGACCAUAGUGAGGGCAGGAUCCUGACGUGUGGGUAAAUGCGACGUUGUUUAGAACUUAGCUUCUUCACUAAGCAGAAGCCACCUACUUUUGUACUUUUUUCUUUGAUUAUUUCGAGGAAGGUCUCCUAUGCAUCAUUAUUAUUCUCGAAUAAUACAACUUCUAUCUCUCUCUGUCUCCUACAAUCGCUUCUCUCUUAAGCUAAAAUUAUUUUCUUCAUCUUUGAGAUCCAUAACUACAAUAUCGUCCGUUUAAUCUCUAGGUCAAAUUAUCUUUGAUUACGAUUUACCCUUGUUAUCUUUUGAUUGUUUUCGAAGCUUGCAAAGUAUAUCGAUAAAUAAGUACCUCCGGAGGUUAAAAAGCUAUUGGGAGAAUGGCUAACAUGUGCCCUAAGUGGUCUUAUCGAAAAGUCACCACAAAGUAACUUCAGAUGUACACGGACACUAGAUCUCACCGCUGCCAUGGCUGAACCUGAAAUAGCACGAGCAAACGACAUGCCAGGCGAGGUAUGGGCCAACGUUGGCACGCUCACAGCCAUUCUUAAAAAGAUGGAGCAGAUGGAAAGCGAAAAACUGGUCACUUUGUGACCAGAUGAAGGAACACCAGGACAGGGUAAACAAGAUCCAAGGUGCCCCAAGCUGCUGCCAAAACGUGACGUUGGAAGAUUCGUUGAACAACCCUACACUGAGGAGGUUGCCCCGUACUCCAUUCUGAAGACCUUCAAAAUGCCGCCUUACCUAAGAGUAUACGAUAGGAACAUGGAUCUCGAGGAUCAUCUGAACUACUAUGUCACGGCCGCAAAGGGUAACGACCUAUCAAAGGAACAUGUACCACCAGUGCUGCUGAAAAGGAACAGUGAAACGCUGACAGGAGGAGCCCUGACGUGGUACUCCCAACUACCGGCUAAGAUCAUUUCUACGUUCGAGGAAAUAGCGAACAUGUUCGUCACCGCCUAUGCAUGAGCAAAUAAAGCAGAAGCAAGGGUUAACGAUAUCUUCGCCGUCCGUCAAACCGCAGGAGAAGGACUCGGGGACUUCCUAUCCAGGUUUAACAGGGUAAAGAUGAGCUUACCCAACGUAUCAGAAGGCAUGGCGGUGGCCGCUUUCUAAACUGAACUAAGCAGAGAUGGUUCGAGGGCGACUAAGAAGCUACUAAGCCGUCUCCUGAAGUACCCUCUUACCACAUGGGAAGAAAUCCAUAAUGCCUACUGUGCCGAGGUAAGAGCAGAUGAAGACGACCACAAUGGGCUGACCCAACGGUUGACGACAAUACAUCAGCUUCUACUUACUUCCUUCUAGAAGCGAAGGUUGGCAAGGAAGAACCAUUCAGUGUACCAAUGUUAGCGAAUCAAAUUCUUUAAAAGAAGAGUCUGCAGGGGAAGCAAAUAUAGUUUCCCCUAGAAAUUAGAAGGGAUCGACGCAUCGAGGGGUAGCGGGAACAAAUUCCGCAUCUCAACAAAGAAAGGCACCAGCCUUACGUCAGAUCCUCUCACCUGCCGCCACCGAGACACACUGAUGCGCUAUAGCGACGUGUCGCUCCAUUUCGAAACAAAAGAGGUAUGCCUCCUUUAUUAUCUGCCCAUAACUUUUGUGUGUCUCUUUCAGAGAUAGUGUACGCACUAGAAAAGCUGUGAAGUAAGGUAUAAUGGCCGGUGAUGAUAAAAUCAGACCCUACCGUAAGGAAAUCAAACGUCUUAUGUGAGUUCCAUCAGGAACGAGGGCAGAAAAUCGAGGACUGCAUAGGCCUGUGGCAAGAAGUGGUCAGAAUGCUGAAUUAGGGGUACCUGAGGGAGCUACACAACGACAAAGGGAAAACAAACUUUGCACACGGACGUGAGCAACCCUAUGGGCUACCCAAGCCGCCCUCCCCGGCACGUAUGAUUAAUAUGAUCGUCGGAGGCAGCAACGACUCAGCGAUCAACUAUGUCAAACUCACCACCACGACAAACUGAAGCGAACCAUCGCCUACGAACGGUAUGACAAUAGUAUCAUCUUUGAUAAGUCUGAUGCCGACGAUUUGUCUUUCCCUCACUAUGAUGUUUUAGUUACCACUUUACGUAUUGUAGAUACUGAUAUUAAAAGAAUCAUGAUUGAUGACGGAAGCGGUGCCUGUAUUAUCCACCCGAGGGUCCUCAUGCAAAUGGGACACGAGGACAAGAUAAUACCCCACUGCAUAACACUAAAUGGUUUAGAUAAUGCAGUGGAACGGACCUCCGGAGAAAUAUCCCUGCCCGCUUUAGCGGGAGAGUCAUGCUAGAAACAAUUUUCCAUGUGAUGAACCAGGAAACAACAUACAACGCCAUCCUAGGACGCUCAUGGAUGCACGUCAUGUGAGAAGUCCCGUCAAGCUUUUAUCAAGUGAUCAAAUUCUCUACCCCAAGGGGAAUAUUCAGUAUCCUAGGCGAGCCGCACACCACAAGGGAAUGCUACAACUAGCUCAAGAUUGCGCCCACACUAAACAACCUAAGGGAACGAGUGCAGAGGUAUAACAAUCAGCUAUGUCGGGGACCAAGGUCGACUCGACAAGGAACACCAUCAAAGAUCCCGAUACCAUAGAGGCCUGCAAAAGCCACGGUCGAAUAUCUCAAACCAGUCCAACUGAACGAUGUUGACCUCACGAAGAAAUCCUACAUCGGGCACGACCUCACUAAUCCAAGUAAGUGUCAUGAGUUUUUAACUAACCAUGUAGACCUGUUUGCUUUUUCCCAUUCAGAUAUGCCAGGGAUAUUGCGAGACAUCGCCACUCACAAGCUAAACGUUGACCCACUACACCUACCCGUGCGGCAAAUGAGAAGGAAAUUUAAUGCCGCUAUCAACGAAGCGGUCACUGAGGAAGUAGACAAGCUACUGGACAACGGUUCCAUCAGGGAAUCAAAAUACCCCCAAUAGGUUGCCAAUGUUGUCAUGGUCAAAAAGAAAAAUGGGAAGUGGAGAAUGCGCGUGGACAGGCAUGCCCUAAGGAUUUAUUCCUAUUACCCCACAUCGACCAACUGAUCGACGCCACCGCAGGACACGAGCUGCUAAGCUUCCUAGACGCUUAUUGCGGCUACAAUCAGAUCAUUAUGGCCAAGGAAGGCCAGGAGAAAACAACUUUCAUCACCCACCAAGGGACAUAUUUCUACAAAGUAAUUCCCUUCGGGCUAAAAAAUGCAGGAGCUACGUACCAGAGACUGGUCACCAAGAUGUUCAAAGAACAACUUGGCAAGACCAUGAAAGUCUACAUCGACGAUAUGCUGGUAAAGUCAACAAAGAAAGAAGACCAUAUCAACUACCUGAAGGAAGCCUUUGAGAUAUGGAGGAGGUACGGUAUGAAGUUGAACACUGAAAAGUGCACCUUCGGCGUGACCUUAGGAAAAUUCUUAGGAUUUCUCGUAUCACAACGAGGGAUUGAGGUCAACCCAUACCAGAUGAAGGCGAUAGACGCAAUACCGAAGUUGUUAAACAGCAAGAAGCAGGUACAAAAGCUGACAGGGCGGAUAGCCGCUCUAUCCAGAUUCAUCUUGCGAUCCUUCGACAGGUGCCAUAAAUUUUUCAAUGUGCUAAUAAAAGACCAAGGGUUGCAGUGGAAUGAGGAAUGAGUCGAAGCCUUGAGAAAGCUGAAAGCGUACCUUUCCUCACCGCCUUUGCUAGUCAACGCAAGCCUAGGCGAACCCCUGCUGGUGUAUCUGGCCGUAUCAGAGGUUGCCGUUAGUACAGUCCUGGUCCGCGAAAACAAAGCUACACAAUCUCCUAUUUAUUAUAUAGAAAAACCUUAGUGGACGCUGAAAUACGGUAUCCACACCUUGAGAGAUUAGCUCUGCGUUGGUCAUGGCUUCACGGAAGCUCCGUCCUUAUUUUCAAUGCCACCCCAUAAAAGUGGUAACGACCUUCCCGUUGAGAAGCGUACUACACAAGCUUGAAUUAUUAGGCUGGCUCGCCAGAUGGGCCAUUGAGCUCAGCGAGCACGACAUCUCGUACCACCCAAGAACCGCCAUCAAGUUGCAAGUACUGGUCAAUUUUAUAGCGGAUUUCAGAGCAGAAAUCCUACCAGGGGCGGAACACGAGGCACAACUGUCACACCUUUUUUUUAAAAACAAACCCCACUAAACCCUCUUAAAUAAAUAAAAGGAAUUUAGUAAAAAGCUUGAAAAGAGUUUUUUAAUUCACAAGUGACAAAAAUUUGUUUCAAAAGAAAAAUAACUGAGAGUCACCACCUGAAAUUGAGUUAAACGUUUCUUUCUUUAGCAUUUCAAUUCCCACGAUACAUUUUCAAUUAAUCAUCACUGUCUUACUUCUCUUUCGUCCUAUCUCUCCAUAUUUUCUUAAUCAACAAUAACAAAGGAAAAUUAAUUCAAACUAACGAGAAUCAGCUGCAAAGAAUCAAACAAGCAAACAUAAAUUAACAAAUGCACGUUAAACUGAUAUCACCACAUAAACAUGUAAAAUAAGAUUAGUUACGAUCCAUCAAAUACAAGAAACAAAAAAAUGGUGAGAAAUUGACCUCAAUGAGUAGAUCUCUCUUCAAUUAAAGCAACAACGUAUGAACAUGAGCGGGGACUCGAGUUCAACCGGAAAACCUCGAACAGCACGAACACGAAUCAGACUCGACGAAACUCUCAACCUCGCCGAAGAACACUUUUUUUUAAUUCUGUCCGAAUCCGCCUAGAUUCCCUUCAUCUCUGUGUAUGUAUUGUGGUCGCCGGAAUUGGAGAUGGACGUUUGCAGUGAAGUUAGGGUGUUCUUUGGUGUUGUUUAGUUGUAGAAAAAGAACGAUGGGGCGUCGCUGUACUAGGAAGGAGCAAAAGCGGAAGCAGAAGGGGUGGGGCUGGCGGUUGCUAUCCCUUCCUUAGGGUUUUCAUCUUGUGUAUAUAUGAAGAAGAAGGUAGAGUUAGGGUGUGGGUUUAAGAGGAAUGAGAAGUGGGCUAGGUCUUGUUGGACUUCAAAAUUGGGCUCCAAAAUUUACAAAAUUGGGCCAAAAGCAAGCUGAAAGUUCAAUUUAAAAUACCUAUAAAAAUGUAAAAAUUUCUAAUUGAUUUUAAUAAAC
rnacentral:lncRNA from 1 species